rnacentral:tRNA from 1 species
GGAGCCAUAGCUCAAUUGGAUAGAGCACCGGUCUACGGAACCGGGGGUUGGAGGUUCGAGUCCUCCUGGCUCCG